rnacentral:misc_RNA from 1 species
GGACAUUUACCCCAAGAUGUCCCAGUUACGUUCAGAACGUGAUUUUUAAGACAUAAGCUAUUGCUUGGUAUAAAAUCCAAUUUUUGUUAAGUACACCACUCUCGAAUAGCAGCUAACUUUAACCAUAGCAUAGCUAUAUGUUGUUAUUCUGAAUUUGGCAGCUGUUAUUAAAUGUUGCUCUGGUGCGGGCACCAGGUAGUUUCACGUCAGUGAACUAGUCAUAUAUACAUUAUCAAAGGGCGUAAUCUAUGUUAGCCCCUCGUCACCAUUAAUUCCCGGUGGCACACAGACACUUGAAUUCCAAAUAAUAUUAAAAAUGGAAAAUAUAUAAGUGUAUAUAAAUUUUCUAUUGUUAUUGUAUUAUAUCAAUGCUUGAAAAAAACCCUGAGGGUUCUGAAAUGUACUUGUCUUUUGUUUUAUAUAUGUUUUCUAAUUUAUUUUAAAUUUGUUUACUUCCAAUGGCAAUUGUUAUGAACUUCAUAAAAAUAAAGAUAUUUUGUAUUUUAAUUUAUAUAAGGCGAUUGAGAGCAUUUAUGUGAUAAAGUAUGAACCUGAGAAUAAAUGUCAACAUCUAUAAAAAUAAUAAAUUUUAUUUU